UUUGGAUGGAAAUCCAAAAGGGUGGAGUAUUUGAAAAUUAGUCCUAAUUAACUUAUUAGCAACAUGACAAAAAUGUAGACUUUACUUGUUAUAAAUCUGUAUUGUUUUUUGAACUGUUACUGAAGUUUGAUAUGUUGAAGCGGGUAAAUUAAUAGUUCUAAGAGACAUAUGCUGGGACCUUUGUUAGGAUAUCUGCCCAUCUGAAGUUUGAGUUUGAGUAUAUGAAGGGGAUAAUUUGCUAUAAUAGAAACUAGGAAUUCAUACAUGUAUUACUUGAUUUUGAACUGUUGCAGGUGGGUGAUUGAAGGUUGGACCCAAGUUACUCAGGUAAGUCAAUGGAUUGGAAAUUGGUGUAAUGAGCUCUUUAGAACAUCUAUCAGCUGAACUUCACGUAUAUUCCAAGGUUAAUUCUUGUUUGAAUACUUCUUAAGCUGUUUUCAUGGUAAUCCAUGGAAAUUUAUUUUCCUCGUUUUGGAUGUGUUGAGAAGUGCUCUAUUUUUAAUGAAGUUCUAUGGAUUUCCUUUGCGUACUUACAUCAUAUAACCAUGUGAUUGCUCGUCUUGGGCUGCAGAAAAGUUAUGAAUAUUUGCUUUCACAGACAACAUGUUUUGUUGCACCUAGUCCAGGGUUUUGGUAUUUUGUCUGGCGCCAUCUUAUUAUUGAUAUUCUGAUUUUCCCCGCUUUACUGAAGAUCAAGUGGUUCUGUGCACUUUCUUAGCACUAUAUCUAUCUGAAGGUUUAUUUUUCUUCUUCUUCACCAUAGACAUCCAGCAGUUUGAUUAUCAAAUUAAUUUACUUGCUCUUUAUUAUUCAAAUGAUUUGCCUCUAUACUUUGUUUUUAAGUGGUUCUGUUCACGUUCAUACCCCCCGCCUCUUUUCUUUCACCCUGAUCUUCUCACUUUGAGAGAUCAAAGAACGAAACUAGUCUUUUCCCAGAGACGAUUAGAGUCAGCAUUACUGUCUUACUGAUCUUAAGCAGAGUGAGAUUUUCUAAAAAAAAGUCUAUGGAGCCGGAGUAGAAAGAUUCAAGGUGCGAAGGAAACUAAGAAAAGAUAGCAUCAAAUCUGAAGAACUUUCUCAGGCAUCAUAUGUGAUCGAGGACAAUGGACAUCAAUACAUGGAGAUAAGAAUAUCUAGAGAAUGUGUGGAUAUAAGUAAAUUAUUGAGAAAAAUGUCUUCUUCCUGUUUUUUUUUUUUUUUUUAAAUCUGAGAACAACGCCAUACAAGUUUUCCUUUAAGCAUUCGAUAUGGGUAUGCUAGUAAGUUGAGCCAAAGCCCAGCGGUGGCCAAAAUAAUAUCACUCCCAGUGGGAAUCGAACUCAAGACCUCCCGAGUCUUCUUCUUCACGGUCCUUAUAUAUAAUUGUAUUGUUAGUUGUUAGCAUCACUGUAAAUAAUUGCAUGAUGAUAAGAAGCCAUCAUUGACCCCAUUGUUUUGUCAUGAUGUCAAUUUGGAGCAGGUAAAUAUGGAUAUAUGAUGUGAGAGAAAACCAUACAAUGGUCGAGCUUUUGACAAAUCAUGCAAGCAUCAUAUUCACUAGGAAUGACAUUUGAUAUGUUUGCGUGAAUUACAUGCAGGAAGCGACGUGGUGAUUACUCGGACUUUCUUCUUUCAAACAACAGCUGCGCUGCUGAUGCGAUGUACGUGGAAUAUCAACUCCUUUGGUGCAUAUUUGUUUGGCAGUCGCACUAAGUAGUGGACCCUUCAUCUUGUUAUUACUUAUACGUCUUGUUUUUAUAGGUUCUAUUCAACAAUAGUUUUGCUUUCAAGGAUAUAAGAUAAGAAGAAGUCAAAAGUGGGAGAUUAUUUAUUACAAGGAAAAAAAUAAAGUUCAGAAUACGUGUGCUGUCAAAUUGAUCCACUAUUAUUUAUGUCUUCAACAUGUACAGCGUAACUACCCUCAUUUGUUUUAAGGAUCUGUUCGGGAAUGUAUUGUGUUUUGAUCUCCUGCGAUGAGGUGAAGUUAGUUUCGAAAUUGUUGUGAGGUGAGGUGACAGAAAGUGUUUGGUGCUUCAUUUGGUUUGGUGGGAUAAAAUUAGAAUUUUCCAUUGAUAUCAAUUAAUUUCUGAAGUAUUUAUUUUUGUAAAAAUAUAAAUGGAAUAAUAAAGUUUAUUGGGGACAAAAUUGAAAAAAAA